AGUGAAAGGAAAUAAGUGAGGACUUUGGAAAGGACAUGGUUUUGACCUGUCCUAUUGCUCCUAUUCCUCAGGGUGACGCUGGUCUUCCAGGGAAAGCAGCUGACAUGAAGGUAGACAUCUCAGAACUACAUUAACGGCACAUACAUUUCAUGGAAAACAACAAAUCAUGGAAAAAAAUGUUUUAUUUUCUCCUUCCCAGAACAUUGAAGUAAUGUUUGAAGACUAUGGCAUAAGGCUGCCCUUGCUGAAGGCACUGAUUGACAGGCUGCUGCAGGACGGCAUGGAGGAGCUUCUGCAGGAGCUAACCACCUCUAGGAGAGUCAAUGAGAAGGAGAAACACGGCUCCAACAUUAUCACUGACUACACAAGAACUGUAAAGUAUGAGAUCUCCAAGGAGCCUCUGACAGAGAUGGACACCAUAGAGGAGGCAGUUGACUCUGACCUAGACAGACAGCUACCAGAACCUAACUCUGUAAGUAUCCACUCCAAACAUGCUACAUGACAUAGGAACGCUUUCCCUCACACAUAUUAAGCCUAACCCUAACACAAAAAAAGCUAGUUCUAUGGAGAUUAUCAAUUGAGUAUUGUUUUUAGUCCACGACUAGUCUUUAUCUGUAUCCCAGAAAUCAACCUAUAUUAUAAAGCCCAGUCUAUUUAUGUAUCCGAACAGAUACACUGUUGUACUACAGUAUGUAGUUAUUCAUCCAGGUCUCUAUCUCAUGAAGGAUGCUUUGAAUGAAACGGCGGAGGGCCCCACAUUCUGGAGUCUCACCCCUCUUAAUGGUCUUAAUGGGGUCCAAGACGUGGGGAGGAUAGAGAGCACCUCUAAGGGGAUAGAGGGGACACUGACAGUGGACGAGGACUUCAGUGAAGCUCCCUCCCCCAAGUUGGCUUUAUCAAACUCAACAUUUAACAACACAACGUCUGAAGAGAGGGUCUCUGAGGUACCAGGGGCAAUAGUAGAAACUGUUCUCCUCAGUGGGGAAGACUCCUUGAAGAAAAAGAAGAGUCGGGAACGGAAGGUGAUGUCACUACAAAUAGAUAUAUUUUAUACAUCUGAUAAACACAACCUUGUUGGGUUCAAAUCAAUUUCAACAUUUGAGAAAAGUUUGUAA
rnacentral:lncRNA from 1 species